UUAUAUCUCUUUAUGCAAGAUUGCCACAAUUUAAUCAAAUAUAGCAAACUAUACAACAACCUGCUGCAAGAGAUGUGUUUCCAAGACAUUAGUAAACUUUGGACCUCCAGACGUAAUAGGAGUUGUUAGAAGUAAGCACCGGAAAACAUCAAGAAGCACGCGAUUUAUUACAAAAUAAACCGUGCGACUGAACAAAAGCCAUUAAAACAGACGGGCAAGCCGCAAAAUAAAAGAAAGAAAAAAAAAUUAAAAUAGGAAUCCCAAAGAAAUGUCAAACAAUAAAGGUAACAAAGAAUCCGAGUAUUGCUCGCAGGAUGCUAAUGUAGUAUUAUGUUAGGGGAGGAAGGUUGGUUAUUUCUUUAAAAAAUAUACCUAAUGACACGUUGAUCACG